GCUGUGUCUUUCCGGGUCCAGCGCCUGCUGCGAGCAACUCGCUGUUCUAGGGGCGAAGCCGAGAACUACUUCUCGUGGAGCUGAGGUUCAGCGGUGUAUGUGUGGGACACUCACAAUAAACAUCAUAAAUAAGUGAAUUCUAUAAGAGGCUGCGUAGCAAAAUGGAGUCUGCAGCCAGAUUUAUUGGGUUUCAAUCCCAGAUUUGCCACUUACUAGCUGUGUUACGCCGAGCAAAUUGCUUCAUCCUUCUGUGCUUCACUUUCCUCCUCAGUUAAAUGAGGAUCAUCAUAGUGUCUACUUCAGAGUUGGUGUGAGAGUUGAAUGAGGAUACUCUCUGUGAGCCCAGCUGCCAUGUUGUGAGGAAGCCCAAGCCACGUGAAGAGUCUCCCAGAUAAGGUCCCAGCCGAAACCAGCAUCAACCACCAGAGAAGUAAGUGAGAGAACAUUGAGAUGAUUCCAGCCCCCAGGCUUUGAGCCAUCCCAGCUGACACCAAGAGGAGCAGAGAGAGAACUGUUCCCAGCAAGCCCGGCCCAAACUACAGUAACUACUUCCUCAAGUCCAUGGGCGACACUCAACUUGAGCUAAGAACGGGGAGUAAACACUCAGCAGAAGUAAAGCACAUCGAACGGAUAAGACAUUGGCCAUAAAUGCUUCUGACAGCGCCCCAGCCCAGUCGGGCCAGGCGGAUUCCUGAGCGGGGAGCUCCAACUCCCAUGGGGAACCAAGAGCAAACACCGGGUUUUUAUGUGAAUCUCCAGAUUUUUUUUUAAACCUUGUCAAUAAAGUCACAUCAAACAAACAAACAAAAGCACUAUGUGAGUGGAAUGUAUCAGGAGGCAGAUGGGCCACUUCACAGUCUCACUGUUGCCCGAACUCAGGCCUCCUGAUGUAAACACCUGGGAGGUUUGUUACUCAGCAAAUCAGACUAUGCU